GAGGAAGGAUUGACAGAUUGAUAGCUCUUUCUUGAUUCUUUGGGUGGUGGUGCAUGGCCGUUCUUAGUUGGUGGAGUGAUUUGUCUGGUUAAUUCCGUUAACGAAACAGAACUUAACCUGCUAAAUAGGGUACGGGAAUAAGCUUCGGCUGUCCCGUGAUCGCUUCUUAGAGGGACUUUGCGGUUAUAAAUCGCAAGGAAGUUUAAGGCAAUAACAGGUCUGUGAUGCCCUUAGAUGUCCUGGGCUGCACGCGCGCUACACUGAUGCGUUCAUCGAGUUUAUCCUUGGCCGAGANGGCCUGGGGAAUCUUUAGUACGCAUCGUGAUGGGGAUCGAUUAUUGCAAUUAUUAAUCGUGAACGAGGAAUGCCUAGUAUGCGCAAGUCACCAGCUUGNNNA
rnacentral:rRNA from 1 species